ensembl:snoRNA
AAGACUAUACUUUCAGGGAUCAUUUCUAUAGUUUCUAAUUUUGGAGUGUGAUUUGAAAGUGUUAAGUCUUCCUACCCACGAUGAAGAGUGAUAAUGUGUUCUUCAGAGCGUGAUUCUGGCUUUUGAUGACUUACGUUAUCUUAAGUCAUUGAUGACCGUUCUAUAUCUCUAUGAGUUGUAGAUGAAGAGCACGUAAUCAGAGUGGUA